rnacentral:lncRNA from 1 species
UAUAAAAAAAGAAUCACUUUCUCAAUCGUUUGAAAGAAUCGAAGAGAGGAGUCGCGUUUCAUGUACGUAUAGUUUCUUAAUUCGACUAUAUACGCGUCUCAUCAGCCUUGUUGCACGAGCCCGAGUCCGCGUUAUAACGUAGAAGACACGUGAUCCUGUGGGUUUCGCAGAACAGCGAUCCAGUCCAUUGUCACAGGUUGUGUUCCUGUCAUUAUCAUUUUCGCUUCUUCUCGAUUUCGCUUCUUCCGAUGCGAGUGGGCGACGACCAACGACAACGGACGAGGAUAAAAAAAUACGAUAUUUCCCCGUGUGUUCUUCCGCGGUUUCCCCUUUUAACUCCGCGUUUCUAACUGUAGUGAAUGCGGUCAUCCACGUGCCGUGCUCGUAUGACUCUCGUGUUCGACACACGAUCUCGUUUUGCACGCCUAUAUCUAAUCUAUUGUUGCGCAAUUCGCUGCUCAUUCCAUCGAUCAAUCGUGGCGCAAACCUGGUGGCCCCCCAAGUAAUCCUCCAAGCCGCCGAUUAUAACGCAUUUCCCCUAAUUAUCCGUUAAUUACAUAAUUGCAAGAGAGUGAUAUUCAUCCAUUCAAUUAUCGUUGUACAAAAUAUUCAAAGAAAAAGUACUAUCGAGAAUUUUACGAAAGGAAGAUCACUUUGUCUAAUAUUUCUCUUAAUUAUCUGAUCAAACUAUCGAGAUAAUAAUUGAUGGAUAUUGCUUCAACAAACCUAUCUCGAUUACUUGCACACAUAUUCCAUUAUUGAACAUCUAUUCAACUAACCCUACGAAUUUAUCGAAGGAAAUUCGUUCCCUUCGUUUCUCGACCUCGAAUCGUCUAAAGAAAGAAGACGACGUAUCGAGCAUUGCCGCCGGUGCUCCACGCGACUUGUGCCAAGUGAGUAUGGCACCGUGCGUGCCAGCCCGUUAACGCCACACUCCACGUUUCUGCCUUUUUAAAUAUACCAACCGAACUCUCUCGGCUUCCCAGUAUUACGUCGACGACUGACCACGUCGCACGGUCUUUUCGCGACCAUUUCGGUUCGAAUUUCUCGUUAUCCCCUCCUCUGCUCGCGCAAAGGGGUGACGAUCUGUCGCGAUUUUUUAAUAUCGAUCCGCGCCGCUUCUCUCGUCCCGUUUCGAUAAUACUAUCGACCUCCCUUUGAAAGGAAGGAUUCUCGGAAGACCGGCUGUGGAGAAGACCGCCCGAGGACGUUGUUUCGCCGAAGUUUACACCGACUUCCGGGGAUACUUUGGAGAGUUGAAUCGAUGGUGCGCGCGUUGCGGGAGGGAAUGAGAGGAGGUACCCGCGCGAGAAAACAUCGGUGAAGUUGUAAUAAGAGGAAUUGAAAGGUGAGUCUGUUUGCUGAAUAGAUAUUUCUUAACGUCUUUAAGAGGAGAAUUGUUCCAGAAGAAGAAGAAGAAGAAGAACUAAUUUCUUUUCGAGUCUUCUUUUUAAUCCCUCGGUUUCCUCGCGAAAAGAGCGGACAAAUUUUGACGACCAUUUUGUUUUCGUAUUCUUUAAAUUUCUUCUUUCUACGAGAAGAAUUAAAUUAUUUGAAUAUAUAUAUACGUGUUGCGUGUAAAGAAUCUUGCUCCAUAUUUUCACGAGAGAAUCAUCUUCCUUUUUAAAAAUAAAUUCCAUUCAUUCUGGAAAAUGAUCUCCGUUUUUCUCGACACGAAACCACGGAGCUCAUUAUACUCGCAGAUUCGUUCGAUUGGUAGACACGUGUUCCGGUAGGAAACGCUCGGAUAUUAGCCAUUAGCCAAUGCCGAUUUGAGGCCACGCCGAUUAUUACUUGCCAGCGUGAUUUUCUAUUGCGAAGAAUAUGUCUUGCCUUACGCGAGAGGAACGCGAGAAGAACGCGACACCCUGCGACGUCUUCUUCCCACAACGGAACCUUUUGUUCUCAUCUGUAUGCUGUUGUACGUUUAUAUUUAGAUUACGUAUCGUAGAGGAAAUAUCUCAACGUGCACACAAGCGCGUAUGCGCUGGUUUUCAAAAAUAAUAUACAAUAUCGUUACACGUGUUUUGAAGAUAUAUAUUUUGUGAAAAAUCGUACGAGAGAAUUUUACAUGGAGAUUCAUAUUUCAUAUAUAUAUGUACGAUAUAACUUAUUUCGUUUCGCAAUAACGGUUUUUUAUUGUUUAAAAAAGAAAAUGGAAAAAACGAUAUUCGAAAAAUUAUAACAUUUACGAUGGCAUUUGCUAUUGAUUUUAAUUCUUCGAUGACGCUUGCAAAUUGUGUGUAACAUUCGAAAGUAAGCUUGAUUCUAGAAAAAGAAAAAGAGUUACAUUAUUUGAUUCUCUUAUGAAUUACGCUGAAUAUUAAUUACCGAAUAUAAUCUAGUUCCAAUUGAUAUUGUUCUACGAAUAAAACUUAUUCUACGAAAUUAUGUCGCCCGUUUAAUUAAAUUACUCCCCAUCGGAAAUUUCAUAACGCUCGGACAACUUGCUAAUUAAUUUUAAUAUUUUAACAUUAUUUUCAACCUCGUCGAUUAAUAAUCGAUACGUGUGAAAGAUAAAAAAAGAAAUUCUUCCCUUCGAAACGAAAUAAUAUAGCGAAAGAUCCAAUAAGGGAAAAAAAUAUACAUUCAAUUCCUCACUCAUCGCCGAUUUCUCCUCUCCUUUCGAACGAAAAAAAAAAAAAAAUCGAGAGAGAGACGCUUGGACGAAGUAAACAUCAAGAAAAUACAUAAACACUGAAUUCUUCUCUCCGAGGAUAAAAUUCCUCGAUCGAAAAAUAAAUCACGGAGGCUUUAAGGGAAGACGAGGAGCGAAGAUCGAGGUUCAAGAUCGGCGCCAAGUAGAUCUGCGUGUCGAGUGUAAAAAUAGUCGAGGCGGGUCGAGCCCUCACCUUGUCCUCGCUUGUCUGCUCGCCUCUUGCCGAGACGCUCUUGGCCUCCUCCUCCUCCUUCUCUUCGAACGAGGAGGGAACAGGUUUGCGAGAGAACCGAAAAUCUGCCGCUCCCCUGAGAGGAGAGGGGGGGGGAGGGAAUGGAACGACGAAAAGCGCAGUUUGAUCGUAGUCGUGGAGUGGCUCGAUCGAGAGAUUCGGAUCGGUUUGAAGAAGAUGUUUGAACGUCGCCUGCUGUUGAUUUUCACCGAGGCGAUACAAACACUCCCCUUGUAAAUUAUUCCCACCCCUUGAAAACUGGUUUGCCCAGCAUCUCACCUCUUUGCAAUAUUAUCCUUGAAAUUCGGGGAAGAAAGGGGCGCUCUUGGAUCGCGAUCGCUUUCUUGGGUCUGGAAUCUUCAAGAUGGAGUCAGUGAAGCGAAUAUUUAUACAGGAUAUAUAGGAUAUUAUUUUUAUUCUUUUCUCGAGUUGAAAAUUGUUAAUGAUGCGAUAAUAUUAUUGAACGACGAGACGAAUUUUGUACGAACUUAUUCCUUUUAAAUUGGGUUGAAAAAUUUGAUCUUUGUUUAAAUGUUCUGUUUAUUCCUGUAUAUAAAGAGAGAAAAAUCUUGUGAAUAUGCGAAAAGAUGCAGAAUAUUCAAACUUAUAUACUUUUUAAGAUAAUAAGAAAAGGAAAAGAAAAGAACUUUUAUACUCAACCUAAUAAUAAAAAUUCUCUGGAAUUAUUAAAUUUUGAGGAUAUGAAAAGAUUAAUAAACCAAAGUUUCUUUUAAUGCAUUGACGCGUAAACAGUUAUUGAUAUAUCAAUUUCUGCUGUAAUUUUAUUUCUUUUUUUCUUUCUUUCUUUUUUCUCUUUUUUAGCAGAGAUCGUAAAGAUUAAAGGAUUCGUAAAGAUUUCUUGCCCGGAUUUAGUCGGGAGAGAAACAGACUCUUUAAUAUCCCUCUACUUUUCAAAGAGCAGCUUUCUUUGGGAGGGAGGAAGGCACGAGGGAGGCAGAGAAGAGCGCCUUUCCUCGAAACUUUUCCCGAUUAUCGCUUAUAAAAACGCGGAA